GUGUUUGCUUCGGCAGCACAUAUACUAAAAUCGGAACGAUAUAGAGAAGAUUAGCAUGGCCCCUGCGCAAGGAUGCCACGCAAAUUUGUCAAGUGUUCCAUAUUUUA
rnacentral:snRNA from 3 species